GAUGUGUACACACCAAAAUUGUGGUGUUAUACACAAUUACAAUUCCUUGAAGCCCACACACAAAUAAGGAGCGGACAGAGUAAUUUUGAGGAUGUAACCCCCCGCCCGAAAGCCCAGGAGGCACCUCGUCUGGUGUCUCAAAUUUUUCCCAGUUUAGCCCAGGAGCCCCAUCGAGUAUUUCUCAUUCUUCCCCACUAAGCCCACAAACGACUUUAAGUGAUUUUAUUGAUAUAAGCACUGAAGCGAGUAGCAGUGGCGCUAGCGAGCCACAGAAGAAACGGGCAAAGGACGGUGCACUGUACAGGUUACGGAAGGAUUUGGCCUCAUUCAAAGAUAGAAUCUGCGAAAAGCGCACGAAGCCAUUUUCUUGGCUGGGGAA